rnacentral:rRNA from 14 species
AGCGAACGGGAUUAGAUACCCCGGUAGUCCACGCCCUAAACGCUGUCUGCUAGCUUUGGGGGGAAUCGACCCCCUCCGAGGCGUAGGUAACCCGUUAAGCAGACCGCCUGGGUAGUACGAGCGCAAGCUUAAAACUCAAAGGAAUAGACGGGGGCUCGCACAAGCGGUGGAGCGCGGGGCUUAAUUCGUCGCUAAGCGAAGAACCUUACCGAGGCUAGAAACUAUACUGCACGCCUCCCGAAAGGGAGGAAGUCUUCGAGAGUGUAUAGCAGGUGAUGCAUGGCCGUCGUCAGUUCGUGGCUUGAGCUGUUCCCUUAAGUGGGGAAACGAACGCAACCCUCGUUGCCUGUUACAAGUGUCAGGCGAGACUGCUCCCUCACGGGAGAGGAAGGUGAGGAUGACGCCAGGUCAGCAUGUCCCUUGAUGCCUCGGGCUGCACCCACGCUACAAUGGGACGCACAACGGGACGCAAUAUCGUAAGAUGGAGCAAAUCCUUAUAAAACGUUCCUCAGUUCGGAUUGUGGUCUGCAACUCGACCACAUGAAGGUGGAAUCGCUAGUAAUCGCGUAUCAGCAAUGACGCGGUGAAUAAGUUCCUGAGCCUUGUACACACCGCCCGUCACGUCAUGGAAGCCGGGAGCACCCGAAGUCGCGGAGUUUCAUCCGUGCCUACGGUGAGUUCGGUGACUGGGACGAAGUCGGAACAAGGUAGCCGUAGGGGAACCUGCGGCUGGAUCACCUCCUU